rnacentral:rRNA from 1 species
UACAGAGGUCCCAAGCGUUGUUCGGAUUCAUUGGGCGUAAAGGGUGCGUAGGCGGCGCGGUAAGUCGGGUGUGAAAUCUCGGGGCUUAACUCCGAAACUGCAUUCGAUACUGCCGUGCUUGAGGACUGGAGAGGAGACUGGAAUUUACGGUGUAGCGGUGAAAUGCGUAGAUAUCGUAAGGAAGACCAGUGGCGAAGGCGGGUCUCUGGGCCAUAACUGACGCUGAGAAGCGAAAGCAUGGGGAGCGAACAGG